GUGCCGCCUGUGCUGGCCGGAGCCAGCGUGGCGAUCAGAUGUCUGGGUGUGCCUGGCACGACCCCACCUCACUGCUCCCCUGAGCUGUCUUUCCCCUGCAGAGGGGCCAAGGAGCACCCCUGGGAGGCCGUGAGUGUCAGCAAGAAAGGCACGGCAGGGCGGGGACAGGGCAGGGUGAGCAGGACUCCAGCGCGUGGUGGCCGCGAGUCCCAGCUCUCAGAGGAACAGGCCUUGAAGAUGCAGGGAGGUUUGCACCGACAAAAGCCUCGGCAUCUCUCUUUAUUUUUACCUUACAUGCACCGCCACCGCGGCUUCCUGCUGUAGCCUCUCCCCACCCGAGAGGCAUUCCCAGCCCCCAGGACCACAGAGAGGGGCAGGGGUCUUCAGUGUGGCUAAGGGCCACCGCCUGCAGCACCUGGGAUGGAGCUGCCAACUACCCCCAUCCUCAGAGCUGAAGUCUCCUAGCGUUUGGGCCUUGACUUUCUUAAUGCGAGAUACAGCUCAAAGCUUGCGGUGACAUUUCUGUCUUCGGGUGCUAAAACUGCAUUUCCUUCUUGAGUUCCAUGUUUCAGGGAGAGAAUCAUGAAGAAACAGAAUAAAGGACUUUGUUGCAAGCUGCAGUCAUAAAGAAGGACAUGUGGGUGAGGCUGGGAGCCCGGGGAGCCUGGUGUCAGCUCCAAUCCGAGCAUCGGGGCCAGCAGGAAGACCCGGCCUCUGUUUCCUCUGUCAGCCCGGAGGAGGGCAAUCACGACGCAAUUUCUUACAAUAAUGAUACCUCACAUUGCAUAAUCGUUCACGUCCUUCAAAAUAUUGAAAAUCGUAGCACAGAAAGUUUGAAGGGUUCCACAGCAACUCAGCACCACGAAGUCAGCCACGGCCCCACACGUCGACGGCUCAGUUGGGUGACGUGGCCGGCCCCGGGGACUCCUCUUUCUGCUGACGUUCAUCCACAUCCACAUCCAGAGCUUCUCGGUGUCCAGGAGAUGCUGACAGCUCCUGGCCCCAGGAUGGGUGUGAGGCUGUGGCCCCGGGGUGAAAAGCUACAUCUCCCACGGCAGAUAGCCACCAUCACGGCUGUUAGAUGCCUGCGGACCGGACGAUGCAUCUAAAGGAAAACGGACCCAGGCGGGAAGACCAGCGGCCGCCCGAGUGUUGGCAGAAGCAGGCCCGUUGCUGAAUCGUGAUGUUUGUAGAAAUCGCUGUUUUAGCCACUGUUGGCUCCUCUCAAACUCCUGACCGACCCCAAGAGCUGCCGGGAAGCCCCUUCCCCUGUGACUCCUCAGGGACACGGGCUCCGGCUGCAGCCUCAAGUGACCCCUUUGCAGGAGUCCAAGAAAAGAGAAGCUGCUUCUGUGGAUUUCUGUCCUAGAUGAAGCCACAGCGGCAGGAAGUGGUAGCUGGCUGCUCCCAGGGUCUGUUUCGCUGGGACAAGAGGUCUCAAAGCUGUCCCUGGGAAGGAGCUUAGGCGGUGCUGAGCUGAUGUUCAGGGGGGCGGAGGGAGAGACAGGGAAAAAGCUUAGGCAGUGCUGAGCUGAUU
rnacentral:lncRNA from 1 species